GAUGAACGCUGGCGGCGUGCCUAAUACAUGCAAGUCGAGCGAACAGACGAGUGGCUUGCUCCUCUGACGUUAGCGGCGGACGGGUGAGUAACACGUGGAUAACCUACGUAUAAGGCGGUGAUAACUUCGGGAAACCGUAGCUAAUACCUGAGAAUAUAUUGAACCGCAUGGGGCAAUAGGGAAAUACGGUUUUGCUGUCACUUAUAGAUGGAUCCGCGCCGCAUUAGCUAGUUGGUAAGGUAACGGCCUACCAAGUCGACGAUCAGUAGCCGAUCUGAGAGGACGACCGGCCACACUGGGACUGAGACACGGCCCAGACUCCUACGGGAGGCAGCAGUGGGGAAUUUUGGACAAUGGGCGAAAGCCUGAUCCAGCAAUGCCGCGUGUGUGAAGAAGGCCUUCGGGUUGUAAAGCACUUUUGUCCGGAAAGAAAACCUUGGCCCUAAUACGGUCGGGGGAUGACGGUACCGGAAAAAAAGGCACCGGCUAACUACGUG
rnacentral:rRNA from 1 species